AACUAGAUAGUUAAAUAAAAUAACAUCAAUUUUGUAUAUUGAGGUAGCACUAUAAGCUUUAGUUG
rnacentral:tRNA from 1 species